rnacentral:rRNA from 1 species
UACGUAGGGCGCAAGCGUUGUCCGGAAUCAUUGGGCGUAAAGAGCUCGUAGGUGGUCUGUUACGUCUGCUGUGAAAACCUAGGGCUUAACCCUGGGCCUGCAGUGGAUACGGGCAGACUAGAGGUAGGUAGGGGAGAAUGGAAUUCCCGGUGUAGCGGUGAAAUGCGCAGAUAUCGGGAGGAACACCGGUGGCGAGGGCGGUUCUCUGGGCCUUACCUGACACUGAGGAGCGAAAGCGUGGGGAGCGAACAGG